UCUCCGUAGGGGAACCUGCGGAGGGAUCAUUACGGAGUGAGGGUUUAACCGCCCGACCUCCAACCCUUUGUGAAUCGUACUCGUUGCUUCGGGGGCGACCCUGCCGUCCGCGGCUAAGCGCCCCCGGGGUCAAUCAAACACUGCAUUCUCUGCGUCGGAGUAUUAGUAAAUCUAAUCACAACUUUCCCCAACGGAUCUCUUGGUUCUGGCAUCGAUGAAGCACGCAGC
rnacentral:misc_RNA from 1 species